rnacentral:rRNA from 1 species
CUUUACUGUAGCUUUACAUUGGACUUUGAACAGAUCUGUGUAGGAUAGGUGGGAGGCUUUGAAGUGAGGACGCUAGUUCUCAUGGAGCCAACGUUGAAAUACCACCCUGGUGUGUUUGAGGUUCUAACCUUGGUCCCUUAUCGGGAUUGGGGACAGUGUAUGGUGGGCAGUUUGACUGGGGCGGUCUCCUCCCAAAGUGUAACGGAGGAGUUCGAAGGUACGCUAAAUACGGUCGGAAAUCGUGUUGAUAGUGCAUUGGCAUAAGCGUGCUUGACUGCGAGACUGACAAGUCGAGCAGGUACGAAAGUAGGACAAAGUGAUCCGGUGGUUCUGUAUGGAAGGGCCAUCGCUCAACGGAUAAAAGGUA